AGAGUUUGAUCCUGGCUCAGAUUGAACGCUGGCGGCAUGCUUUACACAUGCAAGUCGGACGGCAGCACAGAGAAGCUUGCUUCUUGGGUGGCGAGUGGCGAACGGGUGAGUAACGCAUCGGAACGUACCGAGUAGUGGGGGAUAACUGUCCGAAAGGAUGGCUAAUACCGCAUACGCUUUGAGAAGGAAAGCGGGGGAUCUUCGGACCUCGCGCUAUUCGAGCGGCCGAUGUCUGAUUAGCUAGUUGGUGGGGUAAAGGCCUACCAAGGCGACGAUCAGUAGCGGGUCUGAGAGGAUGAUCCGCCACACUGGGACUGAGACACGGCCCAGACUCCUACGGGAGGCAGCAGUGGGGAAUUUUGGACAAUGGGCGCAAGCCUGAUCCAGCCAUGCCGCGUGUCUGAAGAAGGCCUUCGGGUUGUAAAGGACUUUUGUCAGGGAAGAAAAGCUUUGGGUUAAUACCCUGGAGUGAUGACGGUACCUGAAGAAUAAGCACCGGCUAACUACGUGCCAGCAGCCGCGGUAAUACGUAGGGUGCGAGCGUUAAUCGGAAUUACUGGGCGUAAAGCGAGCGCAGACGGUUUGUUAAGCAGGAUGUGAAAUCCCCGGGCUCAACCUGGGAACUGCGUUCUGAACUGGCAGGCUAGAGUAUGUCAGAGGGGGGUAGAAUUCCACGUGUAGCAGUGAAAUGCGUAGAGAUGUGGAGGAAUACCGAUGGCGAAGGCAGCCCCCUGGGAUAAUACUGACGUUCAUGCUCGAAAGCGUGGGUAGCAAACAGGAUUAGAUACCCUGGUAGUCCACGCCCUAAACGAUGUCAAUUAGCUGUUGGGGCA
rnacentral:rRNA from 1 species